rnacentral:lncRNA from 1 species
UCCAUAGCUGCCCCCUCCCCCCCAUGGCCACUGCACCUUCCCCAUGCCGGGCGGACCACUCCAUUUCAUAGCCAGCCCCUUCGUUCGUCACCCAGCCCCUCCAUCACCAGAAAAACCACCCUCGUAGUUCCCGUUCCACUGCCCCCACGUCGUCCAGCCCCUCACGACCCCCCAUCUUCAUUGCGCAACACCAGCCGCCAUCGUCUCCAGUCCAAACGAGCCCCGUCGUUCUUCCCUAUUCCAGCGUCACUGACCAAACGACCAACCUCUUCCUGGUGAACCACCGGACAGUCCAAACGAGCCCAUCUCUGCCCUGCUAUAUCAGACUAGCAAUAACCAUCGCCUGUCCGUUUAUGUUAGAGUUUAGUCGAGUCGAAUCCAUUGAGAAAUUUGGCAAGUUCGAGCUUUGAGCUUCCGAAAUGGACUAAGCUUGAAUCAGGUGUCCGAUGCGGCGAGGCAGUUCGGUUAGGAAUGCUAUGAGGUUCCGUUGAGAUUCAAUUUGAGAUCGUUGUUCUUCAUUUCCGGUUCGAGGUUCGGAUCAAUAACUCGUUUGUUAUGGUUUGUUUCUUCGAGAUCUUAUUGCAUUGUUUAUGAGAGAAAAUAAACAACAGUUGAGGUUUCGAUUUCCUAUUAUGCUAUUUGUUAAAGAUCUGAUAUUUGCAUCUAUGAUUAAUUUCAUUAAAGUGCUUGUUAAAUCUUAAUAGUAUUUUAUAGUUUGUGUUACUGCAUAUCUGAUAAAUAUAAUAGUUUGUGUUAAAUCAAUCUUUAGUUUUCUAUUUGGAUGGUGAGAAUAAGAAUAUGACGUGGGAUUUUGAAGGAGCACUAAAGCCAGUUCAUUUCGAAUUCGAAAUUGGAUAUCGCAUGAAGUUGUUGUUGCAUCAUACUGUUAUUAUAUUAAUCUAGGUCCAGUAAUGUGUACUUAUAGUUGCCAAAUUCAUUUUCAAGCCACCAGGAGUAACUCCAUAUGCGAUGGCUUGGUUCCUGGACCCUUCAAAGAGUUUUCUCAUUUCAGGAUUGUGAACCGGAAUCUUAUGGCGUGUUAAUGUUCCUUCAUUUUUUGUCUGUGUUAAAUUUAGAAAUGUUAUUUGUUUCAAAGUUUAUUCCCUUGUACCCGUGUCAGUCAGAGUUGUUCUUAGUAGUUCAAUAGAAUUUUGUUCUGAUUCAUUGUUUUUCAUUUUGAUGAUAUUUAAUCUGAUCCGAG